AUUCAGAUAUAUUACGAAAAGGUUAUUAUUAUUUUUAAUUAAUUAGUUAUAAUAAUUAAUUAUUAUAUGAUCAGGGCCGUUUAUAUUAUUUACUGUCGUGUAUAUUAGUGAUGGACUUAAUUGUUUUUUUCUAAUAACCGAAAUGUUUACUUUGAAAAAAUUAGAGUGCUUAAAGCAGGCUUACUCUUGUAUAUUGUUGUAUGAAAUAAUAAAAUAGGACUUUGGUUUUAUUUUGUUGGUUUUCUUAACUAAAAUAAUGAUUAAUAGAGACUGCCGGGAGCAUAUGUAUGCUGGUGCUAAAGGUGAAAUUCUUAGACCAUCAGCAGACAAACUACUGCGAAAGCAUUUGCCAAGAAUGUUUUCAUUAUAUAAGAACGAAAGUCAGAGGAUCGAAGACGAUCAGAUACCCUCCUAGUUCUGACCAUAAACUAUGUUAACUGACAGUUAGUAAAGAUUAAUUAUUUCUUCUUACUAGAAGUCACCGGGAAACCAAAGUCUUUGGGUUCCGGGGGAAGUAUGGUUGCAAAGCUGAAACUUAAAGGAAUUGACGGAAGGACACAAUAAGGAGUGGAGCUGCUUAAUUUGACUCAACAUAAGAAAUCUCACCUGGUUCGGAAACUGUGAGGACUGACAGAUUGAUAGCUCUUUCUUGAUUCGGUUGGUGGUGGUGCAUGGCCGUUCUUAGUUGGUGAAGCGAUUUGUCAGGUUAAUUCCGAUAACGAACGAGACUCUGAUUUACUAAAUAGUGAAUUUUUAUUCAAUUGUAAAUUCUAACUUUUUAGAAGAAUUAAUAGCGCUUAGCUAUAUGAAAUAGAGCAAUAACAGGCCUGUGAUGCUCUUUGAUGUCCGGGGCCGCACGUGCGCUACAAUGGCAGUAUUAACAAGUUUUCCUAACUAGAAAUAGUCGGGUAAUCUCUUGAAACACUGUAGUAUCAGGGAUUGUGAAAUUUCACAUGAACGAGGAAUUGCGCUGAUUACGUCCCUGCCCUUUGUACAAACCACCUACCGCUACUACCGAUUGAAUGGUUUAGUGAGAUUGUUGAAUUCUGAUCUAAGAAAUCGCAACAUUUCUAUGAAUGGGAAAAGACAC
rnacentral:rRNA from 1 species